GGGUUGUGAGGUUAAGCGACUAAGCGUACACGGUGGAUGCCCUGGCAGUCAGAGGCGAUGAAGGACGUGCUAAUCUGCGAAAAGCGACGGCGAGGUGAUAUGAACCCUUGACCCGUCGAUGUCCGAAUGGGGAAACCCAGUGUGAUUCGUCACACUAUCGUUAACUGAAUACAUAGGUUAACGAGGCGAACCGGGGGAACUGAAACAUCUAAGUACCCCGAGGAAAAGAAAUCAACCGAGAUUCCCCCAGUAGCGGCGAGCGAACGGGGAGCAGCCCGGAGUCUGAAUCAGCUUGUGUGUUAGUGGAAGCGUCUGGAAAGUCGCACGGUACAGGGUGACAGUCCCGUACACGAAANCACAGGUUGUGAACUCGAAGAGUAGGGCGGGACACGUGGUAUCCUGUCUGAAUAUGGGGGGACCAUCCUCCAAGGCUAAAUACUCCUGACUGACCGAUAGUGAACCAGUACCGUGAGGGAAAGGCGAAAAGAACCCCGGCGAGGGGAGUGAAAAAGAACCUGAAACCGUGUACGUACAAGCAGUGGGAGCACCUUCGGGUGUGACUGCGUACCUUUUGUAUAAUGGGUCAGCGACUUAUAUUCUGUAGCAAGGUUAACCGUAUAGGGGAGCCGCAGGGAAACCGAGUCUUAACUGGGCGUUAAGUUGCAGGGUAUAGACCCGAAACCCGGUGAUCUAGCCAUGGGCAGGUUGAAGGUUGGGUAACACUAACUGGAGGACCGAACCGACUAAUGUUGAAAAAUUAGCGGAUGACCUGUGGCUGGGGGUGAAAGGCCAAUCAAACCGGGAGAUAGCUGGUUCUCCCCGAAAGCUAUUUAGGUAGCGCCUCGUGAACUCAUCUUCGGGGGUAGAGCACUGUUUCGGCUAGGGGGCCAUCCCGGCUUACCAACCCGAUGCAAACUACGAAUACCGAAGAAUGUUAUCACGGGAGACACACGGCGGGUGCUAACGUCCGUCGUGAAGAGGGAAACAACCCAGACCGCCAGCUAAGGUCCCAAAGUCAUGGUUAAGUGGGAAACGAUGUGGGAAGGCACAGACAGCCAGGAUGUUGGCUUAGAAGCAGCCAUCAUUUAAAGAAAGCGUAAUAGCUCACUGGUCGAGUCGGCCUGCGCGGAAGAUGUAACGGGGCUAAACCAUGCACCGAAGCUGCGGCAGCGACGCUUAUGCGUUGUUGGGUAGGGGAGCGUUCUGUAAGCCGUUGAAGGUGGCCUGUGAGGGUUGCUGGAGGUAUCAGAAGUGCGAAUGCUGACAUAAGUAACGAUAAAGCGGGUGAAAAGCCCGCUCGCCGGAAGACCAAGGGUUCCUGUCCAACGUUAAUCGGGGCAGGGUGAGUCGACCCCUAAGGCGAGGCCGAAAGGCGUAGUCGAUGGGAAACAGGUUAAUAUUCCUGUACUUGGUGUUACUGCGAAGGGGGGACGGAGAAGGCUAUGUCAGCCGGGCGACGGUUGUCCCGGUUUAAGCGUGUAGGUGUGUGUUCCAGGCAAAUCCGGUUCACUUUAACACUGAGGCGUGAUGACGAGGCACUACGGUGCUGAAGUGAUAAAUGCCCUGCUUCCAGGAAAAGCCUCUAAGCAUCAGGUAACACGAAAUCGUACCCCAAACCGACACAGGUGGUCAGGUAGAGAAUACCAAGGCGCUUGAGAGAACUCGGGUGAAGGAACUAGGCAAAAUGGUGCCGUAACUUCGGGAGAAGGCACGCUGAUAUGUAGGUGAAGUCCCUGCGGACGGAGCUGAAAUCAGUCGAAGAUACCAGCUGGCUGCAACUGUUUAUUAAAAACACAGCACUGUGCAAACACGAAAGUGGACGUAUACGGUGUGACGCCUGCCCGGUGCCGGAAGGUUAAUUGAUGGGGUUAGCGGCAACGCGAAGCUCUUGAUCGAAGCCCCGGUAAACGGCGGCCGUAACUAUAACGGUCCUAAGGUAGCGAAAUUCCUUGUCGGGUAAGUUCCGACCUGCACGAAUGGCGUAAUGAUGGCCAGGCUGUCUCCACCCGAGACUCAGUGAAAUUGAACUCGCUGUGAAGAUGCAGUGUACCCGCGGCAAGACGGAAAGACCCCGUGAACCUUUACUAUAGCUUGACACUGAACACUGGUCCUUGAUGUGUAGGAUAGGUGGGAGGCUUUGAAGCGUGGACGCCAGUCUGCGUGGAGCCGUCCUUGAAAUACCACCCUUUAAUGGCUGGUGUUCUAACGUGGACCCGUGAUCCGGGUUGCGGACAGUGUCUGGUGGGUAGUUUGACUGGGGCGGUCUCCUCCCAAAGAGUAACGGAGGAGCACGAAGGUUAGCUAAUCCUGGUCGGACAUCAGGAGGUUAGUGCAAUGGCAUAAGCUAGCUUGACUGCGAGAGUGACGGCUCGAGCAGGUGCGAAAGCAGGUCAUAGUGAUCCGGUGGUUCUGAAUGGAAGGGCCAUCGCUCAACGGAUAAAAGGUACUCCGGGGAUAACAGGCUGAUACCGCCCAAGAGUUCAUAUCGACGGCGGUGUUUGGCACCUCGAUGUCGGCUCAUCACAUCCUGGGGCUGAAGUAGGUCCCAAGGGUAUGGCUGUUCGCCAUUUAAAGUGGUACGCGAGCUGGGUUUAGAACGUCGUGAGACAGUUCGGUCCCUAUCUGCCGUGGGCGCUGGAGAAUUGAGGGGGGCUGCUCCUAGUACGAGAGGACCGGAGUGGACGCAUCACUGGUGUUCGGGUUGUCAUGCCAAUGGCACUGCCCGGUAGCUAAAUGCGGAAGAGAUAAGUGCUGAAAGCAUCUAAGCACGAAACUUGCCCCGAGAUGAGUUCUCCCUGAGACUUUAAGUCUCCUGAAGGAACGUUGAAGACGACGACGUUGAUAGGCCGGGUGUGUAAGCGCAGCGAUGCGUUGAGCUAACCGGUACUAAUGAACCGUGAGGCUUAACCUUACAACGCCGAAG
rnacentral:rRNA from 1 species